GGUUCGAUUCUGGCUCAGAUUGAACGCUGGCGGGAUGCUUUACACACAUGCAAGUCGAACGGCAGCACGGACUUCGGUCUGGUGGCGAGUGGCGAACGGGUGAGUAAUGUAUCGGAACGUGCCUAGUAGCGGGGGAUAACUACGCGAAAGCGUAGCUAAUACCGCACAUUGCCUUCGGGGGAAAGCGGGGACCUUUCGGGCCUCGCACUAUUAGAGCGGCUGAUAUCGGAUUAGCUAGUUGGUGGGGUAACGGCUCACCAAGGAUGAUCCGUAGCUGGUUUGAGAGGACGACCAGCCACACUGGGACUGAGACACGGCCCAGACUCCUACGUGGAGGCAGCAGUGGGGAAUUUUGGACAAUGGGGGAAACCCUGAUCCAGCCAUCCCGCGUGUGCGAUGAAGGCCUUCGGGUUGUGCACACUUUUGGCAGGAAAGAAACGGCACGGGAUAAUACCCCGUGCAACUGACGGGCAUCUGUAUAAUACACCAGCUAACUACGUGCCAGCAGCCGCGGUAAUACGUAGGGUGCAAGCGUUAAUCGGAAUUACUGGCGUAAAGCGUGCGCAGGCGGUUCGGAAAGAAAGAUGUGAACCAGAGCUUAACUUUGGAACUGCAUUUUUAACUACCGAGCUAGAGGUCAGAGGGAGGUGGAAUUCCGCGUGUAGGCAGGAAUGCGUAGAUAUGCGGAGGAACACCGAUGGCGGUGGGGCGCAGCCUCCUGGGAUAACACUGACGCUCAUGCACGAAAGCGUGGGGAGAAACAAGAUUAGAUACCCUGUAGUCCACGCCCUAAACGAUGUCAACUAGCCGUUGGGGCCUUCGGGCCUUGGUAGCGCAGCUAACGCGGUGAAGUUGACCGCCUGGGGAGUACGGUCGCAAGAUUAAACUCAAAGGAAUUGACGGGGACCCGCACAAGCGGUGGAUGAUGUGGAUUAAUCUGAUGCAACGCGAAAAACCUUACCUACCCUUGAUGUCUGGAAUCCCGAAGAGAUUUGGGAGUGCUCGUGAGAGAACCCGGAACACAGGUGCUGCAUGGCUGUCGCCCGCUCGUAUGUCGAGAUGUUGGGUUAAGUCCUCGCAACGAGCGCAAACCCUUGUCAUUAGUUGCUACGAAAGGGCACUCUAAUGAGACUGCCGGUGACAAACCGGAGGAAGGUGGGAUGACGUCAAGUCCUCAUGGCCCCAGGGUAGGGCUUCACACGUCAUACAAUGGUCGGGACAGAGGGUCGCCAACCCGCGAGGGGGAGCCAAUCCCAGAAACCCGAUCGUAGUCCGGAUCGCAGUCUGCAACUCGACUGCGUGAAGUCGGAAUUGCUAGUAAUCGCGGAUCAGCAUGUCGCGGUGAAUACGUUCCCGGGUCUUGCAUGCCACACCGCCCGUCACACCAUGGGGAGGGUUUUACCAGAAGUAGUUAGCCUAACCGUAAGGAGGGCGAUUACCACGGUAGGAUUCAUGACUGGGUGAAGUCGUAACAUGGGUAA
rnacentral:rRNA from 1 species